rnacentral:rRNA from 1 species
GAUGAACGCUGGCGGCGUGCCUAACACAUGCAAGUCGAACGAACGGACGAGAAGCUUGCUUGUCUGAUGUUAGCGGCGGACGGGAGAGUAACACGUGGAUAACCUACCUCUAAGACUGGGAUAACUUCGGGAAACCGGAGCUAAUACCGGAUAAUAUUUUGAACCGCAUUGUUCACACGUGAAAGUCGGUCUUUCUGUCACUUAUAGAUGGAUCCGCGCUGCAUUAGCUAGUUGGUAAGGUAAUGGCUUACCAAGGCAACGAUGCAUAGCCGACCUGAGCGCGUGAUUGCCCACACUGGAAGUGAGACAGGGCCCAGACUCCUGCGGGAGGCAGCAGCAGGGAAUCUUCCGCAAAGGGGGAAAGCCUGACGGAGGAACGCGGCGGGAGGGAUGAAGGUCUUCGGAUCGGAAAGCUCUGUUAUUAGGGAAGAACAUAUGUGUAAGUAACUGGGCAGAUAGUGACGGUACCGAAUCAGAAAGCCCCGGCUAACUACGUG